rnacentral:rRNA from 1 species
UGGGGAAUAUUGCACAAUGGGGGAAACCCUGAUGCAGCAACGCCGCGUGAGUGAUGAAGGCCUUCGGGUUGUAAAGCUCUGUCUUCAGGGACGAUAAUGACGGUACCUGAGGAGGAAGCCACGGCUAACUACGUGCCAGCAGCCGCGGUAAUACGUAGGUGGCAAGCGUUGUCCGGAUUUACUGGGCGUAAAGGGAGCGUAGGCGGAUACUUAAGUGGGAUGUGGAAUACCUGGGCUUAACUUGGGUGCUGCAUUCCAAACUGGGUGUCUAGAGUGUUGGAGAGGAAAGUGGAAUUCCUAGUGUAGCGGUGAAAUGCGUAGAGAUUAGGAAGAACACCAGUGGCGAAGGCGACUUUCUGGACAAUAACUGACGCUGAGGCUCGAAAGCGUGGGGAGCAAACA